rnacentral:rRNA from 1 species
GAAUAUUGCACAAUGGGCGGAAGCCUGAUGCAGCAACGCCGCGUGAGGGAUGACGGCCUUCGGGUUGUAAACCUCUUUUAGCAGGGAAGAAGCGAAAGUGACGGUACCUGCAGAAAAAGCGCCGGCUAACUACGUGCCAGCAGCCGCGGUAAUACGUAGGGCGCAAGCGUUAUCCGGAAUUAUUGGGCGUAAAGAGCUCGUAGGCGGUUUGUCGCGUCUGCUGUGAAAUCCGGAGGCUCAACCUCCGGCCUGCAGUGGGUACGGGCAGACUAGAGUGCGGUAGGGGAGAGUGGAAUUCCUGGUGUAGCGGUGGAAUGCGCAGAUAUCAGGAGGAACACCGAUGGCGAAGGCAGAUCUCUGGGCCGUAACUGACGCUGAGGAGCGAAAGGGUGGGGAGCAAACAG